rnacentral:rRNA from 1 species
GAUGAACGCUAGCGGCAGGCUUAACACAUGCAAGUCGAGGGGCAGCAUGAGACGGAGAUUCGUCAAAGUCUUGAUGGCGACCGGCGCAAGGGUGCGUAACGCGUGAGCAACUUGCCCGUUUCAGGGGGAUAACCGGUGGAAACGCCGUCUAGUACCCCAUGGUAUUGAGUUUAGGCAUCUUUACUCAAUUAAAGAAUUUCGGAAACGGAUAGGCUCACGUGACAUUAGAUAGUUGGCGGGGUAACGGCCUACCAAGUCGGCGAUCAGUAGCCGGACUGAGAGGUUGAACCGGCCACAUUGGGACUGAGAUACGGCCCAG